rnacentral:rRNA from 1 species
CCUACGGGAGGCUGCAGUGAGGAAUAUUGGUCAAUGGGCGGAAGCCUGAACCAGCCAAGUAGCGUGCAGGAUGACGGCCCUACGGGUUGUAAACUGCUUUUAUACGGGAAUAACGCGCCUUACGUGUAGGGCUUUGCAUGUACCGUAUGAAUAAGGACCGGCUAAUUCCGUGCCAGCAGCCGCGGUAAUUCGGAAGGUCCGGGCGUUAUCCGGAUUUAUUGGGUUUAAAGGGAGCGUAGGCCGCAUGUCAAGCGUGCUGGGAAAGGUCCGGGCGCAACCCGGGCCUUGCAGCGCGAACUGGCGUGCUUGAGUCCGCGGAAAGCAGGCGGAAUUCGUCGUGUAGCGGUGAAAUGCUUAGAUAUGACGAAGAACCCCGAUUGCGAAGGCAGCUUGCUGCAGCGGAACUGACGCUGAUGCUCGAAAGCGCGGGUAUCGAACAGGAUUAGAUACCCGAGUAGUC